rnacentral:rRNA from 1 species
CCUACGGGUGGCAGCAGUGGGGGAUAUUGCACAAUGGGGGCAACCCUGACGCAGCAACGCCGCGUGAUGGAAGAAGGCCUUCGGGUUGUAAAAAUCUUUAAUCGAGGGCGGAUUUUGACGGUACCCGAAGAAUAAGCUCCGGCUAACUACGUGCCAGCAGCCGCGGUAAUACGUAGGGAGCAAGCGUUGUCCGGAGUUACUGGGUGUAAAGGGCGUGUAGGCGGGAAUGCAAGCUAGAAGUGAAAACUGGGGGCUUAACCCGCAAACCGCUUUUGGAACUGCGUGUCUUGAGUGAAGGAGAGGCAGGCGGAAUUCCCAGUGUAGCGGUGAAAUGCGUAGAUAUUGGGAGGAACACCAGUGGCGAAGGCGGCCUGCUGGACAUUAACUGACGCUGAGGCGCGAAAGCGUGGGGAGCAAACAGGAUUAGAUACCCCGGUAGUC